AUUGAACGCUGGCGGCAUGCCUUACACAUGCAAGUCGAGCGGCAGCGCGGGGGCAACCCUGGCGGCGAGCGGCGGACGGGUGAGUAAUACAUCGGAACGUGUCCUUUCGUGGGGGAUAACCAGUCGAAAGACUGGCUAAUACCGCAUGAGAUCUCACGAUGAAAGCGGGGGACCGCAAGGCCUCGCGCGAUUGGAGCGGCCGAUGUCGGAUUAGCUAGUUGGCGGGGUAAGAGCCCACCAAGGCGACGAUCCGUAGCUGGUUUGAGAGAACGACCAGCCACACUGGGACUGAGACACGGCCCAGACUCCUACGGGAGGCAGCAGUGGGGAAUUUUGGACAAUGGGGGCAACCCUGAUCCAGCCAUGCCGCGUGUGUGAAGAAGGCCUUCGGGUUGUAAAGCACUUUCGGCCGGAACGAAAUCGCGCGGAUUAAUAACCCGCGUGGAUGACGGUACCGGAAGAAGAAGCACCGGCUAACUACGUGCCAGCCGCCGCCGUAA
rnacentral:rRNA from 1 species